CUCCUUUGACGUUAGCGGCGGACGGGUGAGUAACACGUGGGUAACCUACCUAUAAGACUGGGAUAACUUCGGGAAACCGGAGCUAAUACCGGAUAAUAUUUCGAACCGCAUGGUUCGAUAGUGAAAGGUGGUUUUGCUAUCACUUAUAGAUGGACCCGCGCCGUAUUAGCUAGUUGGUAAGGUAACGGCUUACCAAGGCGACGAUACGUAGCCGACCUGAGGGGGUGAUCGGCCACACUGGAACUGAGACACGGUCCAGACUCCUACGGGAGGCAGCAGGC
rnacentral:rRNA from 1 species